rnacentral:rRNA from 1 species
AAAUUGAAGAGUUUGAUCAUGGCUCAGAUUGAACGCUGGCGGCAGGCCUAACACAUGCAAGUCGAACGGUAACAGGAAGAAGCUUGCUUCUUUGCUGACGAGUGGCGGACGGGUGAGUAAUGUCUGGGAAACUGCCUGAUGGAGGGGGGAUAACUACUGGAAACGGUAGCUAAUACCGCAUAACGUCGCAAGACCAAAGAGGGGGGACCUUCGGGCCUCUUGCCAUCGGAUGUGCCCAGAUGGGAUUAGCUUGUUGGUGGGGUAACGGCUCACCAAGGCGACGAUCCCUAGCUGGUCUGAGAGGAUGACCAGCCACACUGGAACUGAGACACGGUCCAGACUCCUACGGGAGGCAGCAGUGGGGAAUAUUGCACAAUGGGCGCAAGCCUGAUGCAGCCAUGCCGCGUGUAUGAAGAAGGCCUUCGGGUUGUAAAGUACUUUCAGCGGGGAGGAAGGGAGUAAAGUUAAUACCUUUGCUCAUUGACGUUACCCGCAGAAGAAGCACCGGCUAACUCCGUGCCAGCAGCCGCGGUAAUACGGAGGGUGCAAGCGUUAAUCGGAAUUACUGGGCGUAAAGCGCACGCAGGCGGUUUGUUAAGUCAGAUGUGAAAUCCCCCGGGCUCAACCUGGGAACUGCAUCUGAUACUGGCAAGCUUGAGUCUCGUAGAGGGGGGGGGGUAGAAUUCCGAGUGUAGCGGUGAAAUGCGUAGAGAUCUGGAGGAAUACCGGUGGCGAAGGCGGCCCCCCUGGACGAAGACUGACGCUCAGGUGCGAAAGCGUGGGGAGCAAACAGGAUUAGAUACCCCGGUAGUCCACGCCGUAAACGAUGUCGACUUGGAGGUUGUGCCCUUGAGGCGUGGCUUCCGGAGCUAACGCGUUAAGUCGACCGCCCGGGGAGUACGGCCGCAAGGUUAAAACUCAAAUGAAUUGACGGGGGCCCGCACAAGCGGUGGAGCAUGUGGUUUAAUUCGAUGCAACGCGAAGAACCUUACCCUGGUCUUGACAUCCACAGAACUUUCCAGAGAUGGAUUGGUGCCUUCGGGAACUGUGAGACAGGUGCUGCAUGGCUGUCGUCAGCUCGUGUUGUGAAAUGUUGGGUUAAGUCCCGCAACGAGCGCAACCCUUAUCCUUUGUUGCCAGCGGUCCGGCCGGGAACUCAAAGGAGACUGCCAGUGAUAAACUGGAGGAAGGUGGGGAUGACGUCAAGUCAUCAUGGCCCUUACGACCGAGGGCUACACACGUGCUACAAUGGCGCAUACAAAGAGAAGCGACCUCGCGAGAGCAAGCGGACCUCAUAAAGUGCGUCGUAGUCCGGAUUGAGUCUGCAACUCGACUCCAUGAAGUCGGAAUCGCUAGUAAUCGUGGAUCAGAAUGCCACGGUGAAUACGUUCCCGGGCCUUGUACACACCGCCCGUCACACCAUGGGAGUGGGUUGCAAAAGAAGUAGGUAGCUUAACCUUCGGGAGGGCGCUUACCACUUUGUGAUUCAUGACUGGGGGUGAAGUCGUAACAAGGUAACCGUAGGGGAACCCUGCGGUUGGAUCACCUCCUUACCUUAAAGAAGC